rnacentral:rRNA from 1 species
UGGGGAAUAUUGCACAAUGGGCGCAAGCCUGAUGCAGCUAUGCCGCGUAUAUGAAGAAGGCCUUCGGGUUGUAAAGUACUUUCAGCGGCGAGGAAGGGAGUAAAGUUAAUACCUUUGCUCAUUGACGUUACCCGCAGAAGAAGCACCUGCUAACUCCGUGCCAGCAGCCGCGGUAAUACGGAGGGUGCAAGCGUUAAUCGGAAUUACUGGGCGUAAAGCGCACGCAGGCGGUUUGUUAAGUCAGAUGUGAAAUCCCCGGGCUCAACCUGGGAACUGCAUCUGAUACUGGCAAGCUUUAGUCUCGUAGAGGGGGAGAGAAUUCCAGGUGUAGCGGUGAAAUGCGUAGAGAUCUGGAGGAAUACCGGUGGCGAAGGAGGCCCCCUGGACGAAGACUGACGCUCAGGUGCGAAAGCGUGGGGAGCAAACAGG